rnacentral:rRNA from 1 species
AGCGAACGCUGGCGGCAGGCCUAACACAUGCAAGUCGAACGAAGUCUUCGGACUUAGUGGCGGACGGGUGAGUAACACGUGGGAACGUGCCUUUAGGUUCGGAAUAACUCAGGGAAACUUUUGCUAAUACCGAAUGUGCCCUUCGGGGGAAAGAUUUAUCGCCUUUAGAGCGGCCCGCGUCUGAUUAGCUAGUUGGUGAGGUAAAGGCUCACCAAGGCGACGAUCAGUAGCUGGUCUGAGAGGAUGAUCAGCCACAUUGGGACUGAGACACGGCCCAAACUCCUACGGGAGGCAGCAGUGGGGAAUCUUGCGCAAUGGGCGAAAGCCUGACGCAGCCAUGCCGCGUGAAUGAUGAAGGUCUUAGGAUUGUAAAAUUCUUUCACCGGGGACGAUAAUGACGGUACCCGGAGAAGAAGCCCCGGCUAACUUCGUG